rnacentral:rRNA from 1 species
UACGUAGGGUGCAAGCGUUAAUCGGAAUUACUGGGCGUAAAGCGUGCGCAGGCGGUUGUGCAAGACAGAUGUGAAAUCCCCGGGCUUAACCUGGGAACUGCAUUUGUGACUGCACGGCUAGAGUGCGGCAGAGGGGGAUGGAAUUCCGCGUGUAGCAGUGAAAUGCGUAGAUAUGCGGAGGAACACCGAUGGCGAAGACAAUCCCCUGGGCCUGCACUGACGCUCAUGCACGAAAGCGUGGGGAGCGAACAGG